GGUUAUCACAAAACUUAGGGAUGUCCGACCUAUGUCAAGAGACAGACGGCGGAUAAGCUAGAGGAUAGAUCUAUUAUAGCUCGCUUUAUAGAGUAUCCAAAAGAAUCUAUGGGAUAUUACUUCUACUUUUUAUAAGAUCAUAAUGUAAUUGUGAGUCGAAAUGCCGUAUUCCUAGAAAAAUAGUUUAUCCAGGAUGGCGGUAGUGGGAGGUUAGUGGAGCUCAA
rnacentral:lncRNA from 1 species